rnacentral:rRNA from 1 species
ACGCUCGACACCUACGGGGGCAGCAGUGGGGAACAUUGCACAAUGGGGGAAACCCUGAUGCAGCGACGCCGCGUGAGCGAAGAAGUAUUUCGGUAUGUAAAGCUCUAUCAGCAGGGAAGAAGAAAGACGGUACCUGACUAAGAAGCCCCGGCUAACUACGUGCCUGCAGCCGCGGUAAUCUGAGCGGGCUGGCAAGGC